rnacentral:rRNA from 1 species
UACGGAGGGUGCGAGCGUUGUCCGGAAUCAUUGGGCGUAAAGGGCGCGUAGGUGGCGGGCCAGCGUGCGGUGAAAGCCUGGGCUCAACCCCGGGUCGGCCGUGCGAACUGGUUGCUUGAGCACUGUAGAGGCAGGCGGAAUUCCGGGUGUAGCGGUGGAAUGCGUAGAGAUCGGAAGAACACCGGUGGCGAAGGCGGCCUGCUGGGCAGUAGCUGCACUGAGGCGCGACAGCGUGGGGAGCAACAGG